rnacentral:lncRNA from 1 species
UGCCUUUUGGGAGGCAUCUGAGGUUGGUUUAUUUGACUUGGAUUUUGUAGAGGGUUGUGUCACUUGGGUAGGAUGAUGUGGGACAUUGCCAGCAUCCAUAGUGACAGAAGGCAAAGAAGUAGGAGGUUGAGAGAUAGAAGUUGAAGGAUAGCCAAAUAUUUUACCUUCAUUGCCAGCUUCCAUGAUAGGCAAAUACUUGAGUUCCACAGUAGAAUGCAGGUUCAUUCUAGUGAGAUCACUAUAAAUCCUCUUGUCAUGUACCCAACUUUCCAACUUUGCAGAAAGAUUAGCAAUUACAAGUUUAUCAUCUACAUGGUUAGCUAACAUCAUGAGGAAUCUAGCAUAGUAAAUAUUUCUAGGUCUAGAAUCCUAAUAACCUAGUAUCUCACCAAUCCCUUGAAUCAUUAAGCCAACAAAAUUAUAAUAUUCAUUAGUUAGAAACAUAUAAAUUAUUUGCAGAAUUUGAGAGCUAAUAGCAUCAAAGUUACUUAUUUUAUCAGAAAAUGCCUUAAUAAAGCCAUCACAAAGAAAACUCCACACCUUCCUAAGACCUCUUCUAACUAUCUUGGCUAAAUGAUUAGUGGGUAAAGCAUAACGCAUAUCAUUUAGCAAGUUAACAAGUUGUUCAUUAGUAGGCAAACCACUAACAGUAUUUUCAGGAAUUUUGAAACAAGUACCAGGAAUAUAUUUGUGGGAUUAUUUUUUCAAACUUUCGAUUGUCUGGCGAGGUCAUAAUCGACCUUGUUCACUCAAUAUUUUUACAUGAAUUGACUCCUCAUCUCACGAUCUAUCAUUAUAUAAGCUCAAUUCAUGCACAAAAUCAACAGAUUAAAAGAUUUCAAUUUCAAUUGCAGACAUUCAUACUACUCAAGAAUCCUAAUUCCUAGUUUCAAAGAUUAAACAUCAAUCUAAAUAUUGAACUCAAAAUUUGAUGUAUG